AUUGAACGCUGGCGGCAGGCCUAACACAUGCAAGUCGAGCGGGGUUUUCGGACCUAGCGGCGGACGGGCGAGUAAUGCGUAGGAAGCUGCCCGAUAGAGGGGGAUACCAGUUGGAAACGACUGUUAAUACCGCAUAAUGUCUACGGACCAAAGUGUGGGACCUUCGGGCAACAUGCUAUCGGAUGCGCCUACGUGGGAUUAGCUAGUUGGUGAGGUAAUGGGUCACCAAGGCGACGAUCUCUAGCUGGUUUGAGAGGAUGAUCAGCCACACUGGAACUGAGACACGGUCCAGACUCCUACGGGAGGCAGCAGUGGGGAAUAUUGGACAAUGGGCGCAAGCCUGAUCCAGCCAUGCCGCGUGUGUGAAGAAGGCCUUCGGGUUGUAAAGCACUUUCAGCGAGGAGGAAGGGGUGUGUGUUAAUAGUACACACCUUUGACGUUACUCGCAGAAGAAGCACCGGCUAACUCUGUGCCAGCAGCCGCCGUAAUAC
rnacentral:rRNA from 1 species